UGGUGUUGUUCUUUGAAGUGUGAAAUGCAAAGUAAUUGUGAUAAAGUCAAGAUAAAGUUCACUUUUAAACUGAACUAAAUAAGGUAUCUGAGAGACAACAAUGGUUAAAUGCAAUACAAUGUACAGGUUUUACUAGCGAAAUGAAAAUUUUCCUGUCCUGUCUGCUGUAAUCAUUUUAUAUCUGGAAAACCAGCCGACUUAAUCGAUAAUAACAAUCUCCAGAUUGGGUUCCUUCAAUAAAUAUGGUCUAUAAACACAAUGAAAUAAGUUCCCCAAAAUCUAAAAUGGAGUGGUAUCAAAGGAGAAUUAAAGGGAAAAAUAUUCAUAUUGAAAUUAUUUAUAAGGCACUGGACUGUCUUAAAUUCUACAAUAAUACUAGAAUCAGCUGAGAGAAGUGGUCUACAAAAAACCAGGAAGGAAACGGAAUAUGUGGCUAUGAAAGGCAAAAGAAAGGUUUACAAAGCAAAUGUGACAAAUUUUUUUGAAAUAUUUAGGA